rnacentral:rRNA from 1 species
GUAGUCCACGCUGUAAACGAUGUCGAUUUGGAGGUUGUGCCCUUGAGGCGUGGCUUCCGGAGCUAACGCGUUAAAUCGACCGCCUGGGGAGUACGGCCGCAAGGUUAAAACUCAAAUGAAUUGACGGGGGCCCGCACAAGCGGUGGAGCAUGUGGUUUAAUUCGAUGCAACGCGAAGAACCUUACCUACUCUUGACAUCCAGAGAACUUUCCAGAGAUGGAUUGGUGCCUUCGGGAACUCUGAGACAGGUGCUGCAUGGCUGUCGUCAGCUCGUGUUGUGAAAUGUUGGGUUAAGUCCCGCAACGAGCGCAACCCUUAUCCUUUGUUGCCAGCGGUUCGGCCGGGAACUCAAAGGAGACUGCCAGUGAUAAACUGGAGGAAGGUGGGGAUGACGUCAAGUCAUCAUGGCCCUUACGAGUAGGGCUACACACGUGCUACAAUGGCAUAUACAAAGAGAAGCGACCUCGCGAGAGCAAGCGGACCUCAUAAAGUAUGUCGUAGUCCGGAUUGGAGUCUGCAACUCGACUCCAUGAAGUCGGAAUCGCUAGUAAUCGUAGAUCAGAAUGCUACGGUGAAUACGUUCCCGGGCCUUGUACACACCGCCCGUCACACCAUGGGAGUGGGUUGCAAAAGAAGUAGGUAGCUUAACCUUCGGGAGGGCGCUUACCACUUUGUGAUUCA